rnacentral:rRNA from 1 species
GACGAACGCUGGCGGCGUGCUUAACACAUGCAAGUCGAACGGAAAGGCCCUGCUUGCAGGGUACUCGAGUGGCGAACGGGUGAGUAACACGUGGGUGAUCUGCCCUGCACUUCGGGAUAAGCCUGGGAAACUGGGUCUAAUACCGGAUAGGAGCCAUUCUUAGUGUGAUGGUUGGAAAGUUUUUUCGGUGUAGGAUGAGCUCGCGGCCUAUCAGCUUGUUGGUGGGGUAAUGGCCUACCAAGGCGGCGACGGGUAGCCGGCCUGAGAGGGUGGACGGCCACAUUGGGACUGGGAUACGGCCCAGACUCCUACGGGAGGCAGCAGUGGGGAAUAUUGCACAAUGGGCGCAAGCCUAAUGCAGCGACGCCGCGUGGGGGAUGACGGCCUUCGGGUUGUAAACUCCUUUCGCUAGGGACGAAGCUUUUGUGACGGUACCUAGAUAAGAAGCACCGGCUAACUACGUG